rnacentral:rRNA from 1 species
UACGUAGGGUGCGAGCGUUAAUCGGAAUUAUUGGGCGUAAAGCGCGUGUAGGCGGCUUGGCAAGUCGGGUGUGAAAGCCCUCAGCUCAACUGAGGAAGUGCGCCCGAAACUGCUUUGCUUGAGUGCUGGAGAGGGUCGCGGAAUUCCCCAAGUAGAGGUGAAAUUCGUAGAUAUGGGGAGGAACACCGGUGGCGAAGGCGGCGACCUGGACAGUAACUGACGCUGAGACGCGAAAGCGUGGGUAGCAAACAGG